AGGAUGGUUCCAGACAAAAGGGAUAAACCUGCUCAUAUUCCAGCCAAUCAGUGGAAAAUCCUUCUGUCUUUCUACCAAGCCUUUCACUUACAAAAAAAAAGAGUCUACUGACCUUCAGAUGGUGGUGCAGAUGGAACCCAUCCGGGGAUCCCGCCUGACCUUUAUCGCGGCCCAUUAAACAACCCUCUGGAGGAUGCCCUAACUGCAGAGACUUUCUUCUCACAUCCCCAGUACAACCAGAGUGGUCUUGGUCCUCUUUCCCUACCAGUGGGUAAGAUCACCUCUUCGGAGCAGGAAAUGUAACAGGAUUAGGGAAACAGGAGUUAGGAUUCUAUUAGGCAGUCUGGACAGCAACCCUAAAAUGGAGUCGGGAAGCCCCAAAUGGAGCUUACUGAGUCGCGGCCUUCCAGGAAUUUUACAAAAGCACCUGCCUCAGCCAUCCAGGACCUCCCCUGAGCAUGAUCAGGCAGGCCACUGGCUCAAGGGCGCGAGGGGCCUGCACGGCAGUCUGCGAACAUUGCAUAGAUCAGAUCCUAAAAGAUACACAGUCUCCUACAAGGGCAGAGAUCACACCGCUCACACAGUGGCCGGAGCUCCCUUCUGAGCCCCUUAAAAACCCUUAGAUGGAGCCCUGUGGGUGCCUUCUCAACCCUCUCCCUGCUGCCCAGGAGCUGCAUUUCUUUGCCUUUAUGUCUUUUGCAUUCUUGCCUUUAUGUCUCUUAAGUAAAUUUGCUUGUGCCCUUC